UGCACACCAGUCCGAGAGCCUUUUUUUCUUUCUUUCUUUCUUUCUUUUUUUUAAACCGUGACUUUAUUCAGGUUUCUCGUUGUUGAUUUUCAGCACCUCCUGCUCCACGAGGUCAACGGCAUUCAGGACAAAUCUAUAAAUUACAGAUGAAGAAUKUAAUGAGUUCUGCUGGAAUCCCUUCUGGCUAGUUGAAAAGUGGUACAGUGCGUCAGAAAUACUGCUUUUCUGGGAAAGCGUGACCCCUUUAUUGAGGAAGAGGUGGCGGUUUCAGAUACUUGUGUGGGAUCGGGAGUCUUCUUGAUCAGAUGUCCUCUGAGACUUGGUUUCCUGUGUGUAAUUUUAAUGGGCCACUGUGAAGUUAAUCAGGCCUGCUCAGAGCAGAGGCAGGACGUUGGUGCUGCUGCUUGUGAUGUGUGCUGGCUGUCAUCCAGCACCUCUGGAAAGCACCAGAAAGGCUCCCAUCGACUUCAGUUAUGGAAGCAACCUUUUUCUCUAUGUGGAGAGACUUUGAGGCUGCACUCCUGGUAA
rnacentral:lncRNA from 1 species